rnacentral:rRNA from 1 species
GAUGAACGCUGGCGGCGUGCUUAACACAUGCAAGUCGAACGAAGCACUUUAUUUGAUUUCCUUCGGGACUGAUUAUUUUGUGACUGAGUGGCGGACGGGUGAGUAACGCGUGGGUAACCUGCCUUGUACAGGGGGAUAACAGUUGGAAACGGCUGCUAAUACCGCAUAAGCGCACGGCAUCGCAUGAUGCAGUGUGAAAAACUCCGGUGGUAUAAGAUGGACCCGCGUUGGAUUAGCUGGUUGGUGAGGUAACGGCCCACCAAGGCGACGAUCCAUAGCCGACCUGAGAGGGUGACCGGCCACAUUGGGACUGAGACACGGCCCAAACUCCUACGGGAGGCAGCAGUGGGGAAUAUUGCACAAUGGGCGAAAGCCUGAUGCAGCGACGCCGCGUGAGCGAAGAAGUAUUUCGGUAUGUAAAGCUCUAUCAGCAGGGAAGAUAAUGACG